AGAGUUUGAUCCUGGCUCAGGACGAACGCUGGCGGCGUGCUUAAAACAUGCAAGUCGAACGGACCCUUCGGGGUCAGUGGCAAACGGCUGAGUAACACGUAGGUAACUUACCCUGGAGUGGGGGAUAACUACUCGAAAGAGUAGCUAAUACCGCGUACGUUUGUCUGUCUCUGGACAGAUAAGGAAAGCAGUAAUGCGCUCUAGGAGAGGCCUGCGGUCGAUUAGCUAGUUGGUGAGGUAACGGCCCACCAAGGCUACGAUCGAUAGCUGGUCUGAGAGGACGAUCAGCCAGACUGGGACUGCGACACGGCCCAGACUCCUACGGGAGGCAGCAGUUAGGAAUUUUGGGCAAUGGGCGAAAGCCUGACCCAGCAACGCCGCGUGAGCGAUGAAGGCCUUCGGGUCGUAAAGCUCUUUUACCGGGGAAGAUAAUGACGGUACCCGGUGAAUAAGCCCCGGCUAACUACGUGCCAGCAGCCGCGGUGAUACGUAGGGGGCAAGCGUUGUCCGGAUUUACUGGGCGUAAAAGGUUCGUAGGUGGCUCGUCCAGUCGAGCGUGAAAUCUCCCGGCUCAACUGGGAGAGGUCGUUCGAUACUAGCGGGCUCGAGGUCGGUAGAGGGAAGCGGAAUUCCGGGUGUAGUGGUGGAAUACGUAGAUAUCCGGAGGAACCCAGUGGCGAAGGCGGCUUCCUGGACCGAUUCUGACACUGAGGAACGAAAGCGUGGGGAGCGAUCCGGAUUAGAUACCCUAGUAGUCC
rnacentral:rRNA from 1 species